GACGAACGCUGGCGGCGUGCUUAACACAUGCAAGUCGAACGGAAAGGCGCUGCUCUUGCGGGGUGCUCGUGUGGCGAACGGGGGAGUAACACGUGAGUAACCCGCCCUUGACUUAGGGAUAAAUUCAGGAAACUGGGGCGCUUAUCGGGGAGAAGAUCCUGAACCACGGGGGGGGAUGGAAAGUUUCGGCCGUAUGGGAUGGACUAGAGGCUUAUGCGCUGCUUAGGGAGGUAGUGGCAUACCAAGGCUUUGACGGGUAGCCGGCCUGAGAGGGUGACCGGCGACAUGGGGACUGCGAGACGGCGCAGACUGCUAUGGGCGGCAGCGGUCGGGAGUAUUGCGCAGUGAGCGGAAGCCUGAUACAGCAACGCCCGGUGCGGGAUAACCGGCUAUGGGUUGAGAACCACUGUCGCAUGUGACGAAGCGUGAGUGACGGUACUGGGUAAGGAAGCACCGGCUAACUACGUG
rnacentral:rRNA from 1 species